rnacentral:rRNA from 2 species
AGAGUUUGAUCCUGGCUCAGGAUGAACGCUAGCUACAGGCUUAACACAUGCAAGUCGAGGGGCAGCAUGGUCUUAGCUUGCUAAGGCCGAUGGCGACCGGCGCACGGGUGAGUAACACGUAUCCAACCUGCCGUCUACUCUUGGACAGCCUUCUGAAAGGAAGAUUAAUACAAGAUGGCAUCAUGAGUCCGCAUGUUCACAUGAUUAAAGGUAUUCCGGUAGACGAUGGGGAUGCGUUCCAUUAGAUAGUAGGCGGGGUAACGGCCCACCUAGUCUUCGAUGGAUAGGGGUUCUGAGAGGAAGGUCCCCCACAUUGGAACUGAGACACGGUCCAAACUCCUACGGGAGGCAGCAGUGAGGAAUAUUGGUCAAUGGGCGAGAGCCUGAACCAGCCAAGUAGCGUGAAGGAUGACUGCCCUAUGGGUUGUAAACUUCUUUUAUAAAGGAAUAAAGUCGGGUAUGGAUACCCGUUUGCAUGUACUUUAUGAAUAAGGAUCGGCUAACUCCGUGCCAGCAGCCGCGGUAAUACGGAGGAUCCGAGCGUUAUCCGGAUUUAUUGGGUUUAAAGGGAGCGUAGAUGGAUGUUUAAGUCAGUUGUGAAAGUUUGCGGCUCAACCGUAAAAUUGCAGUUGAUACUGGAUAUCUUGAGUGCAGUUGAGGCAGGCGGAAUUCGUGGUGUAGCGGUGAAAUGCUUAGAUAUCACGAAGAACUCCGAUUGCGAAGGCAGCCUGCUAAGCUGCAACUGACAUUGAGGCUCGAAAGUGUGGGUAUCAAACAGGAUUAGAUACCCUGGUAGUCCACACGGUAAACGAUGAAUACUCGCUGUUUGCGAUAUACGGCAAGCGGCCAAGCGAAAGCGUUAAGUAUUCCACCUGGGGAGUACGCCGGCAACGGUGAAACUCAAAGGAAUUGACGGGGGCCCGCACAAGCGGAGGAACAUGUGGUUUAAUUCGAUGAUACGCGAGGAACCUUACCCGGGCUUAAAUUGCAGAUGAAUUACGGUGAAAGCCGUAAGCCGCAAGGCAUCUGUGAAGGUGCUGCAUGGUUGUCGUCAGCUCGUGCCGUGAGGUGUCGGCUUAAGUGCCAUAACGAGCGCAACCCUUGUUGUCAGUUACUAACAGGUUAUGCUGAGGACUCUGACAAGACUGCCAUCGUAAGAUGUGAGGAAGGUGGGGAUGACGUCAAAUCAGCACGGCCCUUACGUCCGGGGCUACACACGUGUUACAAUGGGGGGUACAGAGGGCCGCUACCACGCGAGUGGAUGCCAAUCCCCAAAACCUCUCUCAGUUCGGACUGGAGUCUGCAACCCGACUCCACGAAGCUGGAUUCGCUAGUAAUCGCGCAUCAGCCACGGCGCGGUGAAUACGUUCCCGGGCCUUGUACACACCGCCCGUCAAGCCAUGGGAGCCGGGGGUACCUGAAGUGCGUAACCGCGAGGAGCGCCCUAGGGUAAAACUGGUGACUGGGGCUAAGUCGUAACAAGGUAACC